GACGAACGCUGGCGGCGUGCUUAACACAUGCAAGUCGAACGGAAAGGCCCUGCUUUUGUGGGGUGCUCGAGUGGCGAACGGGUGAGUAACACGUGAGUAACCUGCCCUUGACUUUGGGAUAACUUCAGGAAACUGGGGCUAAUACCGGAUAGGAGCUCCUGCUGCAUGGUGGGGGCUGGAAAGUUUCGGCGGUUGGGGAUGGAAUCGCGGCUUAUCAGCUUGUUGGUGGGGUAGUGGCAUACCAAGGCUUUGACGGGUAGCCGGCCUGAGAGGGUGACCGGCCACAUUGGGACUGAGAUACGGCCCAGACUCCUACGGGAGGCAGCAGUGGGGAAUAUUGCACAAUGGGCGGAAGCCUGAUGCAGCAGCGCCGCGUGCGGGAUGACGGCCUUCGGGUUGUAAACCGCUUUCGCCUGUGACGAAGCGUGAGUGACGGUAAUGGGUAAAGAAGCACCGGCUAACUACGUG
rnacentral:rRNA from 1 species